GAGUUUGAUCUUGGCUCAGAUUGAACGCUGGCGGCAUGCCUUACACAUGCAAGUCGAACGGCAGCACGGGAGCUUGCUCCUGGUGGGCGAGUGGCGAACGGGUGAGUAAUGCAUCGGAACGUAUCCUGGAGUGGGGGAUAACGUAGCGAAAGUUACGCUAAUACCGCAUAUUCUGUGAGCAGGAAAGCGGGGGACCUUCGGGCCUCGCGCUCUUGGAGCGGCCGAUGUCGGAUUAGCUAGUUGGUGAGGUAAAGGCUCACCAAGGCGACGAUCCGUAGCAGGUCUGAGAGGAUGAUCUGCCACACUGGAACUGAGACACGGUCCAGACUCCUACGGGAGGCAGCAGUGGGGAAUUUUGGACAAUGGGGGCAACCCUGAUCCAGCCAUGCCGCGUGAGUGAAG
rnacentral:rRNA from 1 species